rnacentral:rRNA from 1 species
CCUACGGGGAGCAGCAGUGGGGAAUAUUGCACAAUGGGCGAAAGCCUGAUGCAGCAACGCCGCGUGAAGGAAGACGGUUUUCGGAUUGUAAACUUCUGUUCUUAGUGAAGAAUAAUGACGGUAACUAAGGAGCAAGCCACGGCCAACAACGUGCAAGCAGCCGCGGUAAUACGGAGGUGGCCAGCGUUGUCCAGAAUUACUGGGUGUAAGGGGAGCGUAGGCGGGAAGCCAAGUCAGCUGUGAAACCUACGGGCUUAACCUGUAGACUGCAGUUGAACCUGGCUUUCUUGAGUGAAGUAGAGGUUGGCGGAAUUCCGGGUGUAGCGGUGAAAUGCGUAGAUAUUCGGAGGAACACCGGUGGCGAAGGCGGCCAACUGGGCUUUAACUGACGCUGAGGCUCGAAAGUGUGGGGAGCAAACAGGAUUAGAUACCCGAGUAGUC